rnacentral:rRNA from 1 species
CCCUUAGAUGUUCUGGGCUGCACGCGCGCUACACUGAUGCAUGCAACGAGUUUUCGACCUUGCCUGAAAAGGUUGGGUAAUCUGUUUAACAUGUGUCGUGAUGGGGAUAGACCAUUGCAAUUAUUGAUCUUCAACGAGGAAUUCCUAGUAGGCGCAAGUCAUCAGCUUGCGUCGAUUACGUCCCUGCCCUUUGUACACACCGCCCGUCGCUCCUACCGAUUGGGUGUGCUGGUGAAAUGUUCGGAUCGGCCGUUUGUCGCGGUUUCCGCGUCAUGUGGCUGAGAAGUUCAUUAAACCCUCCCACCUAGAGGAAGGAGAAGUCGUAACA